CAAUAGCGUAUAUUAAAGUUGUUGCAGUUAAAAAGCUCGUAGUUGGAUUUCGGGACGGGCCAGUUGGUCCGCCGCAAGGUGUGUUACUGACUGGUCUGUUCUUCUUCGCAAAGACUGCGUGUGCUCUUCGUUGCGUGUGCGUAGGAUUUACGACGUUUACUUUGAAAAAAUUAGAGUGUUCAAAGCAGGCUAUCGCUUGAAUACAUGAGCAUGGAAUAAUGGAAUAGGACUUUGGUCCUAUUUUGUUGGUUUCUAGGACCGAAGUAAUGAUUAAGAGGGACAAUUGGGGGCAUCCGUAUUUCGUUGUCAGAGGUGAAAUUCUUGGAUUUACGAAAGACGAACAACUGCGAAAGCACUUGCCAAGAGUGUUUUCAUUAA
rnacentral:rRNA from 1 species